UGGAAGUAAAAAGUCGUAACAAGGUCUCCGCUGGUGAACCAGCGGAGGGAUCAUUACCGAGUUUACAACUCCCAAACCCCUGUGAACAUACCACUUGUUGUCUCGGCGGAUCAGCCCGCUCCCGGUAAAACGGGACGGCCCGCCAGAGGACCCCUAAACUCUGUUUCUAUAUGUAACUUCUGAGUAAAACCAUAAAUAAAUCAAAACUUUCAACAACGGAUCUCUUGGUUCUGGCAUCGAUGAAGAACGCAGCAAAAUGCGAUAAGUAAUGUGAAUUGCAGAAUUCAGUGAAUCAUCGAAUCUUUGAACGCACAUUGCGCCCGCCAGUAUUCUGGCGGGCAUGCCUGUUCGAGCGUCAUUUCAACCCUCAAGCACAGCUUGGUGUUGGGACUCGCGUUAAUUCGCGUUCCCCAAAUUGAUUGGCGGUCACGUCGAGCUUCCAUAGCGUAGUAGUAAAACCCUCGUUACUGGUAAUCGUCGCGGCCACGCCGUUAAACCCCAACUUCUGAAUGUGACCUCG
rnacentral:sRNA from 1 species